UUUUAUUUGAGAGUUUGAUCCUGGCUCAGGAUGAACGCUGGCGGCGUGCCUAACACAUGCAAGUUGAGCGAUUUACUUCGGUAAAGAGCGGCGGACGGGUGAGUAACGCGUGGGUAACCUACCCUGUACACACGGAUAACAUACCGAAAGGUAUGCUAAUACGGGAUAAUAUAUUUGAGAGGCAUCUCUUGAAUAUCAAAGGUGAGCCAGUACAGGAUGGACCCGCGUCUGAUUAGCUAGUUGGUAAGGUAACGGCUUACCAAGGCGACGAUCAGUAGCCGACCUGAGAGGGUGAUCGGCCACAUUGGAACUGAGACACGGUCCAAACUCCUACGGGAGGCAGCAGUGGGGAAUAUUGCACAAUGGGCGAAAGCCUGAUGCAGCAACGCCGCGUGAGUGAUGAAGGCCUUCGGGUCGUAAAACUCUGUCCUCAAGGAAGAUAAUGACGGUACUUGAGGAGGAAGCCCCGGCUAACUACGUGCCA
rnacentral:rRNA from 1 species